UAACUUACAGCCAAGGAACCUGGGCUGGUUCCUUGAAACUCCAUAUACACACUACUCAUCUGAGCUUGGUGGAUUUGAGUUUUGGAUUCAUUACCCAACUCCUUUUCCUUGUGUGUUUAGCCCUGUUUGUAAAGCUCACCCUUGGAUCCCCUCCUGUCCUCCUGGUCUUCUUGGUUCAUACACGACCAGGGGAUCAGAUAGGAACCCUGAGAAUGACUGUGGCUUUUGUUGACUCCAUAUUGAAGUAAAUUUGAGAAAGUCGGUUUGAGCAGUCUUCAAGA
rnacentral:lncRNA from 1 species